rnacentral:tRNA from 1 species
CCCAGACUAGCUCUGUUUGUAGAGCAUGAGACUCAUAAUCUCAGGGUAGUGGGUUCGUCCCAUGUUGGGUG